AACGGGUGCAGAGGGGAGUGGUUGUUUACUGGUUUCCCAAGGGGGAUCAAUUUCUGUGUGAGGGAGGGGGGUAACCUCUUUUCUUGCUCAGGGUUGGUUUCUCUAAGGUUAGCCUUAUACCCUUCUUCUAAAGACUUGGUAUACUCUUAAUCGGGCGUACCAAGGAUUUAGGACUUUUACAUUGAAAAAAUUAGAGUGUUCAAAGCAGGCAACUUUUUUGCUUGAAUACAUUAGCAUGGAAUAAUAAAAUAGGACUUUUGGUCUUAUUUUGUUGGUUUCUAAGACCGAAGUAAUGAUUAAUAGGGAUAGUUGGGGUGGUUAGUAUUUAAUUGU
rnacentral:rRNA from 1 species